AAGCUGCUGAUUUCUUAAUUUUGAUCUAUCAACUGUUUAGUAGACAGCUCCCUAAUUUGCUGUCCUUACGUGGGAUUGUCAUAUUUAAAAAUAACAAAUAAGGGAGUUAUCUGCUAAACAGUGCCAUAAUUUGGUAUCUUUAAAUAUGACAAUCCCACAUUAGGGUACCAGUUUUAUUUAGGAAGGUAUCAACUAAACAGCUGAAAUAUCAAAAUUAAGAACAGCCCUU